CCCUGGCAGGGUUUGGUGGCCACAAAGGAACAAGGAGAGCUUUGGUGGCCCUGGGACGGUUUUGGUGGCCCAUGGGGGAUUCUGGUAGCCCUGGAGGGACUUUGGUGGCCCCUGAGGGCACAGGGACUCUCUGGGAUGGUUUGGUGGCCAUGAGGGGACAAGGACAGGUUUGGUGGCCCCUGGGCCAGGUUUGGUGGCCCAGAAGGGCACAGGGACAUUCUGGGACAUUUUUGGUGGCCCUGAGGUGACAAAGGUGGCCCUGAGGUGACACUGUCGCAGUGCCACCAUCACCUGUCCCAGUGCCACCUGUCCCAGUGUCACCCUCACCUUUCCCGGUGUCACCUGUCCCAGUGUCACCUGUCCCAGUGUCACCUGUCCCUGUGUCACCCUCACCUGUCCCAGUGUCACCCUCACCUGUCCCAGUGCCACCUGUCCCAGUGUCACCCUCACCUUUCCCGGUGUCACCUGUCCCAGUGCCACCAUCACCUGUCCCAGUGCCACCCUCACCUGUCCCAGUGUCACCUGUCCCUGUGUCACCCUCACCUGUCCCUGUGUCACCUGUGCCACCCUCACCUGUCCCGGUGUCCCCAGGGUUUGUCCCCGCGGGGGUUCCGCUCGCUCGGGACCAUCCCCAUGCCCUCAGGGGGGGGGGGGGGGGGGGGGGGGGGGGGGGGGGGGGGGGGGGGGGGGGGG
rnacentral:lncRNA from 12 species